rnacentral:misc_RNA from 1 species
AAGAACUUUCUUCUUUAGGGAACACAACAAUUCCCAAAAAUAAGUGUAGAAUUUUUCCUAGUUUUGGGAAUCGUUUAUUGAUUUUCUGGUGUAAACUGUGAAGAGGCUGAAAGGGGAGAAAACAAAGUAUUAGCUGAAAAACAUAUGUAAAAAUCUGAAGUUUUCUAAGCUAUAAAUAUGGCAGAGAUUGAAAAAUCAGCUGAAGAAUCAAUCAUACAGCAAAAUUUUCCAGUAAAGAGGAAAAGGAAUCUUCCUGGAAAUCCUGAUCCAGAAGCAGAAGUGAUAGCUCUAUCGCCGAGAACUCUUAUGGCGACGAACCGAUUUGUUUGUGAGAUUUGUAACAAAGGUUUUCAAAGAGAUCAGAAUUUACAGCUUCAUCGGAGAGGACACAACUUGCCAUGGAAACUGCGGCAACGAACGAGUAAUGAAGUGAAAAAACGUGUUUACGUUUGUCCAGAAUCGUCAUGCGUUCAUCAUGAUCCUUCUAGAGCUUUAGGCGAUCUCACUGGAAUUAAGAAGCAUUUCUGCAGAAAACAUGGUGAGAAGAAGUUUAAAUGUGAACGUUGCACCAAAAAAUACGCUGUUCAUUCCGAUUGGAAAGCACACAUGAAAACUUGUGGUACUAGAGAGUAUCGUUGUGAUUGUGGAACUUUAUUUUCCAGGAGGGAUAGCUUCAUA